CUGGGUGGUCAAACUUCCUUGUCAAAGCCUGAUCGUCAGACCUCGUCACAUCUCAGAAGCUAAGCAAAGCUGAGUUUGGUUAUACUUGGAUGGGAGACCACUGGGAAUAUCAGGUGCUACAGU
rnacentral:rRNA from 1 species